ACGAACGCUGGCGGCGUGCUUAACACAUGCAAGUCGAACGGAAAGGCCCUGCUUUUGUGGGGUGCUCGAGUGGCGAACGGGUGAGUAACACGUGAGUAACCUGCCCUUGACUUUGGGAUAACUUCAGGAAACUGGGGCUAAUACCGGAUAGGAGCUCCUGCUGCAUGGUGGGGGUUGGAAAGUUUCGGCGGUUGGAUGGACUCGCGGCUUAUCAGCUUGUUGGUGGGGUAGUGGCUUACCAAGGCUUUGACGGGUAGCCGGCCUGAGAGGGUGACCGGCCACAUUGGGACUGAGAUACGGCCCAGACUCCUACGGGAGGCAGCAGUGGGGAAUAUUGCACAAUGGGCGGAAGCCUGAUGCAGCAACGCCGCGUGCGGGAUGACGGCCUUCGGGUUGUAAACCGCUUUCGCCUGUGACGAAGCGUGAGUGACGGUAAUGGGUAAAGAAGCACCGGCUAACUACGUG
rnacentral:rRNA from 1 species